AAGUCGUAACAAGGUCUCCGUUGGUGAACCAGCGGAGGGAUCAUUACUGAAGGUCUCCGUACCUGAAAACCAUUGUGAACCCUUCUCCUUAGCUGCCUCGGCGGGCAAUCCCAGGGCGGGAUUCCGGGGCCCCCUUCCGGGGGGCCGUCCGCCGGCGGUGCAACCUUCUAGCUCUGUCUGUGGCGGGCUUCUGAGUGUAACGAAAAAAACAAGUCAAAACUUUCAACAACGGAUCUCUUGGCUCUG
rnacentral:misc_RNA from 1 species